rnacentral:tRNA from 1 species
GCUCGAUCUGGUAGAGCCGGCGGCUGCCGCCGGCCCCGGGGCGGCCGCCCCACCAGGACCAGCCGUCGUUCAUCUCGUGGAUCGGGCGCCA